rnacentral:tRNA from 1 species
AAGAUUUUAGCUUAAUUAAAGCACUUGCUUUGCAUGCAGGAGCUGUGGGUUAAUGUCCCGCAAGUCUUA